CUUGAAAAGCUAACUACAAAUUUCAAUUAUGCUCAGCAUCUCCUCUUAAAAAUUUGAAACAUUCAUAAGUUUUAUGAACAUAUUCAUUAAAAUAUUAAGAAGGGAACUUCUCUAGCAAUAUAAUACAGCUUUGCUUAUGUGGAUUGAUUUCCAUAAGGUUUCCAAAACUAGGAUUCUUGUGGGUGGCUGUUUAGAUGGAGGCUGAUCAUGAUGUUCUGAAAGUUCCAUGCAACCUGAUGUGUGUUGCAUACAUUAUUGCAUCACUGAUAUUUUGCAUGAUACAUGGAUGGAAUCCAACUACUUUCAGGAAAUUCUUACAGCUUUGUCCUCUUGGAUGGAUGCCUUUGGAUUCAAACUUCAGUUUGCAUCAGAGACACAACUGAUCAGAAUAGUAUGGCUGCCAGGUGAAGAGCCCAGUUUUCUUUAUUGGAGGAUGAGAGGUCACCUGAACAGAGAUGCGUGAUCACAGUUGAAGCCUGCCGAGACCAAAAAGUCUACCAAUUGUAAGAUGUGUAAGUGAGGCCAUCCAGGAUCAUCCACACUGAGCUGACCUGGCAAGAUGACUUUAGAAUGCCCCACCUAGAUUGCAGACUUGUGGGCAAUAAUAAAAUGGUCACUGUUUUGGCUACGACAUUUGGGGUGGUUAGUUAUGCAGCAGCAGAUAAUUGACAUAGUGUGUUAAUAGUUUCUUAUCCCACUCAGAGAAAUUUAUAAUUCUUGCCAUGAUCUACAAGCCCUACAUGCUCUAAACUCCUCCCAGGUCCUAAUCUCACUUCUUACUACUCUUCCCCUUUGCCUUUCCUGCUCAAGCCACACUGGCUUCUCUGCCAUUACUCAAACAGGACAAAACACUUUUCAACUUUAGAGACUGGCUGAACUCCAGUUCUCUCUACCUGGAACUCUCUUCCACCAGUUAGCAUGUCGCUAUCUCUUUUAGGUUUUCUACCAAGUGUUUCUUAUCAGGCAGGAAAGAUACCUGUCUUAUUACCCUAUUUUAUACAGGGUAGUCAGGGAAGUCCUGUCUACCUUCAUUUCAUUCACUUUUACAUUGCUAUAUUUUCCUUCACAGCAUAUGUAAUUACUUGUAUCAUUGCAUACUAUAUCAUAUAUUAUUACAUAUUCUAUAUACAUUAUAGAAUUUAAUUACUUGUAUCAUUGCAUACUACAUCAUACAUUAUAUAUUAUUACAUAUU
rnacentral:lncRNA from 1 species